GAAACAGCCAAAGUGUCGGCCGGUCGGGUUGCGGAAACAGCCGAAGCUCCCGCCGGCCUGCAUCCGGAAACAACUGAGGAUCACGACACGCCGGAUAUUGCCGAGCAUCGUAGGAGGGCAUGACGGAAAUAACCGAAAUUGAGAUGUUGGUGGAAUUGGCUUGACUUGACGACGGGGGAAAAAAAAAAAGAGGGUGGAGGUUUAAACAGAAACAGCGGAUCGAUUCGGAGCGAGAAUCAGAACCUCCUGGAUUUGUCCAGGACGACUGUCGAACUGUUAAACGGCAAGCGCGAGGAAGUGGGAAACCCCGUGCACCGUGGGUCACGUGAUUCCAGCCGGCGGUGGAGGUCACCGAACGCUGAUUUGAAUUUCCUGCGAACGCUCGGAUCUUGUUAGAGUUAGUGAAUGUAUUGUUUUUCAAUGGAACCGACUCUCAAAUAACCACUGUAUUUCGUGCUGUUUUCGAUCGUCAGUUCUGGGGAAGCUGAACUCUCCCGCGCACGGGGCUUUGGCGCCCGCAUGAGUCGCGGGCCUCUCUGUGCGAGGUCACGUGAGACGUCUGAUGUCAGGGAAUCCCGCCAAAGUGACGUGCAGCCUGCGAUGUUGCAAUUUCCUGACCUUGCCUGAUAAAGGCAGCAAGGCUGGUUCCGCACCUAAUUUGGCGGAUUUCCAGAAUCUGCAGUAUCUUGCUUUUAUUUCGGUGUGAAGUGAUGUAUCCUUCAGGAAUGAAAAGGACAAUGUAAAGUAAAGCAUUCAACUUAAAGGGAGUACAAGGACAUAGAAACCAGGGGAAUAUGCAAAUUUAUUGAAGAACACUCAAUGGGGUUUGGAUUGUCUAUUUGCUCCCAGACUUCAGAUAGGAUUCUUGGUGUAAAUAAAGCAUUUUUGUGAAGAUCAUCAAACAGGACUUUUUUUUUGUUUGAACAGGAUAUCCUAGAAAAGGAGUUGAACUGCCUCUAGUUUUGUGUUUCUUGUCAUGUUCUAUAUUAAAAUAAACUGGACUUGUUUUAGUUUAAA